rnacentral:rRNA from 1 species
GACGAGGCACUACGGUGCUGAAGCAACAAAUGCCCUGCUUCCAGGAAAAGCCUCUAAGCAUCAGGUAACAUCAAAUCGUACCCCAAACCGACACAGGUGGUCAGGUAGAGAAUACCAAGGCGCUUGAGAGAACUCGGGUGAAGGAACUAGGCAAAAUGGUGCCGUAACUUCGGGAGAAGGCACGCUGACACGUAGGUGAAGUGAUUUACUCACGGAGCUGAAGUCAGUCGAAGAUACCAGCUGGCUGCAACUGUUUAUUAAAAACACAGCACUGUGCAAACACGAAAGUGGACGUAUACGGUGUGACGCCUGCCCGGUGCCGGAAGGUUAAUUGAUGGGGUCAGCGCAAGCGAAGCUCCUGAUCGAAGCCCCGGUAAACGGCGGCCGUAACUAUAACGGUCCUAAGGUAGCGAAAUUCCUUGUCGGGUAAGUUCCGACCUGCACGAAUGGCGUAAUGAUGGCCAGGCUGUCUCCACCCGAGACUCAGUGAAAUUGAACUCGCUGUGAAGAUGCAGUGUACCCGCGGCAAGACGGAAAGACCCCGUGAACCUUUACUAUAGCUUGACACUGAACAUUGAGCCUUGAUGUGUAGGAUAGGUGGGAGGCUUUGAAGCGUGGACGCCAGUCUGCGUGGAGCCGACCUUGAAAUACCACCCUUUAAUGUUUGAUGUUCUAACGUGGACCCGUAAUCCGGGUUGCGGACAGUGUCUGGUGGGUAGUUUGACUGGGGCGGUCUCCUCCUAAAGAGUAACGGAGGAGCACGAAGGUUGGCUAAUCCUGGUCGGACAUCAGGAGGUUAGUGCAAUGGCAUAAGCCAGCUUGACUGCGAGCGUGACGGCGCGAGCAGGUGCGAAAGCAGGUCAUAGUGAUCCGGUGGUUCUGAAUGGAAGGGCCAUCGCUCAACGGAUAAAAGGUACUCCGGGGAUAACAGGCUGAUACCGCCCAAGAGUUCAUAUCGACGGCGGUGUUUGGCACCUCGAUGUCGGCUCAUCACAUCCUGGGGCUGAAGUAGGUCCCAAGGGUAUGGCUGUUCGCCAUUUAAAGUGGUACGCGAGCUGGGUUUAGAACGUCGUGAGACAGUUCGGUCCCUAUCUGCCGUGGGCGCUGGAGAACUGAGGGGGGCUGCUCCUAGUACGAGAGGACCGGAGUGGACGCAUCACUGGUGUUCGGGUUGUCAUGCCAAUGGCACUGCCCGGUAGCUAAAUGCGGAAGAGAUAAGUGCUGAAAGCAUCUAAGCACGAAACUUGCCCCGAGAUGAGUUCUCCCUGAGACUUAGAGUCUCCUGAAGGAACGUUGAAGACGACGACGUUGAUAGGCCGGGUGUGUAAGCGCAGCGAUGCGUUGAGCUAACCGGUACUAAUGAACCGUGAGGCUUAACCUU